GCCCGCCACAUGGUCACCGGUUUGGCCAAAAAUUUAAUCUCCACAUCCUCAGAGAAGCUCCACCAAUUUCCGCCAGGCAAAAUUGACGGAAGAAACUCAAAAAACUUCCUAAUUCUCCCAUGCAGCUCAAAAUUUUCUUCUCGCUGCUCUCCUUCAAACUGCUCUACAUGAUCCUUUUUAGCGAUGGAAAAUCCGUUAAUUGAAGAAGACUUCAGAGGACAGAAGCAACGUCGUCCACUGCUGAGGGAAAAUUCAGAGGGAGAGAAUCGGA
rnacentral:misc_RNA from 1 species